rnacentral:lncRNA from 1 species
UUUUUUGUCAUUAUGGAUUAAGUUCGAAUUUGUGGCAAGAUUUGCUAUUUGUUGUUGUUGUUGAAGGUGGAUUUGGGCUUGGAUUUGGAGGAUUUGAGAUGGGGUAAGGUGGUUAAGGCCUAUUGAACCUGUUUGCUCAAAACCCAAUUGGUUAUAACCAGAGAACCCUUGAGAAAAUAGAUGGGUACUCAAUGGAGAGCAGAAAUCAGGAUACAUGGUUGGAAUUGAAGAGUCAUAAGAAGGAUAAGAAGGGAAAUAAAAUGGUGAAGGAGAAAGAGAAUCAGAGGAAGUAGAAUGAGAAACUGAAGAAGAAGAAGAAUUAUAAGAAGUAGAGGUAGGUGAAGAAGCACUUUUCAUAAAAGGUUCAAGUGCUUUCAAUAAUUCUUC